AAAAAGUUGAGGAGUGUGUGCCAUCCAUUUCUGCUGAUGCGGAUCACGCUGGAGGAAAAAAAAAAAUGUCGCGACAAAGGUCAUGAUGGAGACCAGCAGACACAGCAGCAUGACAGCUGUGCAGGCAUACACCACUGGAUGCAGCAGGCGCGCCUGUUCUGUGUUUACCAAUCAAGCCUGCCAUGCAUUUAAGGACUUCCAAGGUGCCUCGUCUCUCAUCAGA